CGGAACACGUACGCAAUCUACCCAAAACUGAUGAAUAGCCCUCCGAAAGGAGGAUUAAUACAUCGUAACCUAAUUGAAUGGCAUCAUUUAAUUAGUAUAGCUCCGGCGGUUUUGGGAUGAGCGUGCGCCUGAUUAGGUAGUUGGCGGGGUAACGGCCCACCAAGCCUGCGAUCAGUAACUGGUGUGAGAGCACGACCAGUCACACGGGCACUGAGACACGGGCCCG
rnacentral:rRNA from 1 species